rnacentral:tRNA from 1 species
CCCAGGUAGCAUAAUCGGUUAAUGCUCCGGAUUUUGAUUCCGGCUACGAAGGUUCGAUUCCUUCCCUGGGCG